rnacentral:sRNA from 1 species
GCUGGGCACAGUGGUGCAUGCCUGUAAUCCCAGCAGCUUAGGAGGCUGAGACUGCAGGAUCGUGAGUUCAAAUCCAGCCUCAGCAACUGCGAGGCAUUAAGCAACUCAGUGAGAUCCUGUCUCUA